GGAACCCUCCAGUUUAGUUCUUGUUUUGUUGUGUACAAAUAAUGGACCAUUGUUGGAUUUCAGUCUUCAUUUUGCUGACCUCUACCAGCUAUGGAACAUGUGAAUCUUCUCAGCCAGUAUAUGUGGUGGAAGGGAAUACAGUAUCGCUGCCUUGUACUUACAAAGAGAGUAACAUUCGCAGUCUAAUAUGGUAUCGUCAGUAUCCAGGAGAGAAGCUGGAUUUACUCAUUCUGAUCUCUAAUGAUGGAAAUAAAACAGAAGGAAGAUUCACUGCUGAACUCCAGAAAAAACAAAGUAGCAGCGUUCUCUAUAUACCAGCCACAGAUGUGACCGACUCUGCAUUAUAUGUUUGUGCAGUGGAGGCACAGUGAGAAGAAUUGUGUGGCAGGCAAUGCAAGAACACUGUGCUGUUAGAUACAUACAGGAAUUUAACCAUUUUUAUUAGUAUGAAAAUUGCUUUUGAAUUCUCAUAACCCCCCCCAAAAAAAAGGACUUCUUUGUUCAUUUCUCUUCUUUAGUAAGGUAAUCAUACACAGACCAAUCUGGUCAGUCAUGUAUUGUGCAUUUAUUUAUAAUGAUGGUCAAAAAGCUCUGACUGACGGAUUCAUCAAAUGUACCAUGAGAGUUGGUAAGAACAAAAGUAGGAGGGAGUGCUGGUUUCUCUUACAUAAGUAGAAUGCAGAAAACACAGUUCAGAUGCUUCCCAGGGUACAAAUAGAUGCACUAAUGGUCAUAAAAUAAGGUUGAAAUCAGCCAAACUGCUUGAACGUAUUGAUAUGAUAAUGCUGGGAAGUGGACUGUGCUGAAAAACGGAAGACUUGAUGUUCUGUAUUCAUUUAUGAAAAAAUGUUAAUUCUGCUUAAAUACUGAGUACCCCCAGGUGCCAGUGAUUCCAUAUGAAGAGAAAUAUAAACCAGCACAGCAGUGCAAAUGCAGGGACAACUCUUGCAGUUUAUGCAUGUGCAAUAUUUUGGGGGAAACCGCCUUCAAUUUUUCUUUUCAAUAAUAAAUUGUCCUCGAGAAUGGUGAAU